rnacentral:rRNA from 1 species
AUUGAACGCUGGCGGCAUGCUUUACACAUGCAAGUCGAACGGUAACAGGCCGCACGGUGCUGACGAGUGGCGGACGCGUGCGUAAUGCAACGGCAUGUGCCCAGUCGUGGUGGGUAACUGCUCGCUAGGGUAGCUAAUACCUCAUACGAGCUAUUAAUUAAAGCGGGGUGGUGCAAAGGUUAGCGCGGUUGUUGCUGUCGCUUAUAGAUUGAGUAGUGUUACAUUAGCUAGUUGGUAAGGUAAAGGCUCACCAAGACAACGAAGCGUAGCCGACCUGAGAGGGUGACCGGCCACACUGGAACUGAGACACGGCCCAGACUCCUACGGGAGGCAGCAGUGGGGAAUCUUGGACAAUGGGCGAAAGCCUGACCCAGCAAUGCCGCGUGAAGGAAGAAGGUCUUCGGGUUGUAAACUGCUUUUGUACGGAAAGAAACGGUGCUGGUUAAUACCCGGAGAUAAUGACGGUACCGUAAGAAUAAGCACCGGCUAACUACGUG